AGCGGCGGACGGGUGAGUAACGCGUAGGAAUCUACCUAGUAGAAGGGGAUAGCCCGGGGAAACUCGGAUUAAUACCGUAUACCUCCUAAGGGAGAAAGAGGGCCUCUCUUGAUGCUCUCGCUAUUAGAUGAGCCUGCGUAAGAUUAGCUUGUUGGUAAGGUAAUGGCUUACCAAGGCUACGAUCUUUAGCUGGUCUGAGAGGACGAUCAGCCACAUUGGGACUGAGACACGGCCCAGACUCCUACGGGAGGCAGCAGUGGGGAAUAUUGGACAAUGGGCGCAAGCCUGAUUCAGCCAUACCGCGUGUGUGAAGAAGGCCUUCGGGUUGUAAAGCACUUUAAGCAGGGAGAAAAAGCAAUAAGUUAAUACCUUAUUGCCGUGAUGUUACCUGCAGAAUAAGCACCGGCUAAUUCCGUGCCAGCAGCCGCGGUAAUACGGAAGGUGCAAGCGUUAAUCGGAAUUACUGGGCGUAGAGCGCGCGUAGGUGGUUUGUUAAGUUGGAUGUGAAAGCCCUGGGCUCAACCUAGGAACUGCAUCCAAAACUAACUCACUAGAGUACGAUAGAGGGAGGUAGAAUUCAUGGUGUAGCGGUGGAAUGCGUAGAUAUUAUGAAGAAUACCAGUGGCGAAGGCGGCCUCCUGGAUCUGUACUGACACUAAGGUGCGAAAGCGUGGGUAGCGAACAGGAUUAGAUACCCUGGUAGUCCACGCCGUAAACGAUGACAACUAGCUGUUGGGAGACAAUGUCUUUCAGUGGCGCAGCUAACGUUUUAAGUUGUCCGCCUGGGGAGUAC
rnacentral:rRNA from 1 species